UGAUAAAAUGGCCCAUCAUUGGAGCCCAAAAAUAGAAAAUAAAGAAAAACAAAUAUAUAUAUAUAUAUAUAUAUAUAAAAUAAAAAAAAAAUAAUAAAAAAAAACAAUCACAAACAAUGCGAUCCAUAAUCUUGUCCACCCAAAUUUCGGACUAAAUUAAAAAACAUAGAGUUGACAAAAUCCAUAAUUUCAUUAUUGUGGAUGCCUCUGUUCUGGCUAGACAAAACAGAGUUGGGAUUGGCGUGGUAGUGCGGAAUUCUUCUGGUGAAUUGAUGGGUGCUAUGGCAAAACCUUUUGAAGCUUCCUGGUCUGUCAUGUAUUCUGAACUCAUGGCUAUUCGUGUGGCAAUAGAUUUCUGCAUGGAAGCUGGUUUCGUCCAUGGUGAAAUUAUAAGUGAUUGUCUGGGGGCGGUUCGUGCGGUCAAUAUGGGUUUACCAGAAGCUAGUUUGGAUGAGAACUGUUUUUUGGUUGAAAGACUACAAAAGUUAUUAACAUUAUGUCCAAAUCUUACACUUUCUUUUGAGUCCAGAGAAAAAAAUAAUAUAGCCCACUGUAUUGGAAAAUAUGCUACGGAGAUCUCUAAUUUAGAAACAUGGCUUGAGGAGGGCCCACAGUGGCUUCUCAAUUUGCUUUGUGCUGAUAUGUAUAAUGAUUUAAUGUGAUAUUUUACCCCUUUUUCCAAAAAAAAAAAAAAACAAAAAGAGUUGACAAAACCCCAAAAGCCAAAAAUUUAAAACUAUUUUACUUAUUUUAUUUUAUUUUAUUUUUACAAACUAAUAAAUUUGGGUUGUUCUACUUGGGCCUGAUUUCCAAAGAAAUGAACCUGAAUGUUAUUUCCUCCACAUUCACUCCCCAAAAAAAUAAAUGAAAAUAAGAAGAGAGGUGGACGUAUCUCUCUCUCUCUCUAAAAGCUUAAUAUCCAUGGCAGAAACUUCGUCUUCUCCCGCAACGACCCUAGAAACCAGUAUCCCCAGCAGCAAGAACAGGAUAACUCCGCUUCCCAAUCCAAUCAAACCGAUCCUCUUCCCGCUUCCACGCAAACACCAGUACUACCACAAUCCUAGAUUUCCACUGAAAGAGACACAGCCGAGAUUCCGUCAGAUUUUCACGGACAACCGAUAUUUCCACCGGAUUUCCACAAUCCAUUGAAAAUCCGGGAUUUACACCGAUUUCAGACGAUAUCCACGAUAUUUUGCGGCAUCGACGAGAUUUCUUCAACAUCACAGACAGAUAUUUUUUUCCUCCUCUAUCGGUGUCGCCGUUCGCCAAAACCCGAUAUUGUCGCCGAGAUUUCGAUGUUCUCGACGACUUUUUCGUCCCUGAUCAAAGGGUGAUUUCAUAAGUGGCUGACGGAUUGCAGAAAAUACAGUGAUUGCCGAAGAAAUUAUCCACAAAAUAAGGAAGCAUAAAGGGAAGGACCUAACGAUUAUGAAGAUAGAGUUCCAAAAAGCCUACAACGGGCUAGAUUGGCUUUUAUUGGAUAAAGCUCUUCGGGCCUAAGGAUUUUUUAUUCACAUUUAGAAGUUGAUCAUGAGCUAUAUUUGCACUGUGGAAUAUUACUCUUAAUUAAUUGAAGCUUAGUUGGUAA